UACGAAGGGGGCUAGCGUUGUUCGGAAUUACUGGGCGUAAAGCGUACGUAGGCGGAUUGUUAAGUGAGGGGUGAAAUCCCGAGGCUCAACCUCGGAACUGCCUUUCAUACUGGCAAUCUUGAGUCCGGGAGAGGUGAGUGGAAUUCCUAGUGUAGAGGUGAAAUUCGUAGAUAUUAGGAAGAACACCAGUGGCGAAGGCGGCUCACUGGCCCGGAACUGACGCUGAGGUACGAAAGCGUGGGGAGCAAACAGG
rnacentral:rRNA from 1 species